UAUAACCCAGAUUUGGUUGUUAACCACGCUGGGUUAACCGAAGAGGAGGUGGACCACCUCCUCACCCAAAUUCCCGCGGGCACCUUCGAGUGGGUUUCCCUUAUUAACAUCUAUCUGCGACUGGAACCGCCCCCAUCCCUUGGAGGUUAUUUUGAUAUUUUUACCGUGGGGCGCUUGACCGCCGCGAUAGACACCGAUGAGGAGCGGGGUAUAAUUGACAUUUGGGUAUGGGUACAUUAAACCUCAUACAUGUUGGAUCGUUUUAUGAUGUUCAUAGCGUUUUUUAUGAUGUUCAUAGCGUUAGGUUUGGCUUAAAAACUGCAAUUAAAAAUUUAUUUAGGUGUAUGACUUUUUUAGUUUAAGUAUGUAGUUUGUUUUAUGUAUAAUAAAAAAUAAUAUUCAUUCUGAUUAUUUUUCUGAUCUUAUUUCCUGUCUAACGUUUUUUUCUUGUAAAUUUAUGAAUCAAAAAUUUUAUAAAUAUCCAGUUGUAUUUGAUUAUUAAUUUAUCGUUACAAUCAUUUUCCCCAAAAAAUUUAUAUCCAAUAGUUUACAAACAAUAUAUACAUUUCUAAUAGUUAAAACACAUUUAUACAUCUUUUAUAAAAAAAGUGGAUUUGUUUAAUUGAAAUAGGUAAAAAUUCAUAUCCAAAACCUUAAUUACUGGGCGGUUAACAUUUUUUACCAAAAGAUUUUGAAGAAUUUACAACAAUUUAUCAUAAACCCUCAACAGAUGAUAUAGUAAUUAUUGUAAAAGCUGAAGUUUAUAUUUUUUUUCAUUAUCUACUUUUAGAUUUAAAACUAAUUAUCCGAAAUCUAUAAGCGAAGAAUUUAAAAUAUCAAGUCCAAUUUCGGCAGCGAUAACAACUUACUCAGGUGGUAUUUAUCUUUUUCUCAGAGAUAAUACAUAUAUUACAUUAUCUAGUUGCAUCUCUGGAUAUAAUGUUCCUGGUUUAACAAACGAAUUAUUUGAAGGUGUUCCUAAUAAAAUAACAAGGACAUUUAGAUAUUUAAACGGAAAGCUGUACUUUUUUAAUGAAAAUAAUUACUUUGAAUAUGAUGAGUUUACUAAGAGUGUCAUACAAGCGGGACCUAAAACUUUAUCUAUAUUUAACAUUAAUUGUCCGCGAGAACCCAUCUUAAUUCAAUUGAAAAAAUUAUCUUUUAAAAAGAUUAUUACACACAAUGCAGUCCUGGUUGAAAAUUUAACAGAUUAUACUCGUGAAGAAGAUAGUUGGUGUAGUUGGUGUAUUCAUCAGUGUUUGUUUACAGUAAGUUUAUAUUACAACUUAAUAAAACGUUCUUUCUAAACAUCUAAUUUAAACAUCUAAUUUCAGCUUCAGACCUACAAAAGUUGUGCCAAAAAGACGCAUCGUAAGUUUAUCGAAAAUAUUGACUUCGGCACAAGUUCUUCAUCCACAAAUUCUUCCGAUUCAGACUACUGAAUUCUUCUCUAAAACCAACAUAAAUAAUCUUUUUUUGGUAAAUUCUUUAAUUUUUUAAAUUUGUUUACCACAUUUGAUUGCUAAAAAUGUGUUUAAUUUUUUAGGAAAAUUUUUAUCAAAUUUUUAUCAAACAAAAAGUGCGUCACAAAAUUCCUACGAUAAGGAAAGCGUGUUAUCUGUUAACCGCAAAAAUUGAUUAUAAAAGUUCCGUUUUUUACACAUUUCACCAGUUUUAUUAAAACUAUCUUUGUGAGAAGUUGUAUGUGCUCCGCUGUGUAUUUUUGCAUUUAAAUUUCAAAGGAUUCUGUAAUGGCUGAUCAACUAUUAAAUCUGAAUAAAAUUGC